UAAUCUGGAAGUGGAGCUGGGAGAAGUGGACAGAAUGGAUGUUUUAAACACAGUUAGUGCAUCAAAGAAGAAGAGAUGCAAGCAAAUAGGGAGCGAACGAGACAUGUUUGAAACAAAAAAGUUUAAGAACAAAGCCAAAUACAAGUAUUGCUAUUGCAAAAAGGUUUGAAAAAUUAUGAUUCGUUUUUUAAGAAUAAACGUGUACUUUUGAUCAUAAUAUACUAUCAU